rnacentral:rRNA from 1 species
AUGGGGAAACAAAGUGAGGCUAUACAUGAAGAGGCUCACAUGUUUGCCACUCAAAGAAUGCCAAGACCCUAUACACAUCACCUACAAUUAUAUAUACAAUUCUUCUUAGUGUUGUUACCUUUCAUUUCCAAUGUUUCUUUUCUCAAUGUUGUUACCUUUCAUUUCCAAUAUUUCUUUUCUCAGUAUUGUUACCUUUCAUUUGCAGUAUUUCUCGGUCAGUUUUACCCAGAAAUAUCUCCGCCGUUGUAUGACUUGCCAAUAAAAUCUAGAGAUGGAAAUCCCUGCAUCAAAGCCCAUCUAAUCAAAGGAGUCGAUAACAGGGCAACAAUUACCAGAGGCUGGGCAGGCUUCUUCCCCAAGCUAAUAUGA